UGUGUACUCCCUUCGUCCGAAAAAGUUUGUCCCUCAAAUAGAUGUAUCUAGCACCAAGUUUGUGUUAGAUAGAUUCAUUUGAGGAACAAGUUUGAGACAAGUUUUUUCGGACGAGGGAAGUAAAUG
rfam:Triticum urartu cultivar G1812 contig1204202, whole genome shotgun sequence.